AACAACAACAAUGAGAACAACAACAAAAACAACAAUGAGACCAACAACAACAAUGAGAACAACAACAAUGAGAACAACGAGAUCAACAAAAUCUCCUCUAGAAUCAAAAAAAUCCUCACAAGGUUUGUUAUUAUGGCUCAUUAUCCUUCCCGUUGGUUUAUCAGCACUCUUAAUAAUUGUUGUGGUCAUCAGAUGGAAGAAACAUAAAGGAAAAGAAGGGCAGCUGGCCGGCAACACUGGACUGAGCUUACAUCCUGCAGAGACUCAGUCUGGACCAGGAACCAAUCAAACCAGGCUGAGGUUGCACACUAAUCUCAGUAUAAAUUUGCACUAAAUAUUUGUUUCAUUUUAACAGAAAAGUCAUGGUUAUGAUGAGGAGGAGGAACCAGAACUGAACUGUAUUAAACCAAACUGACAUCACUGAGCAGAUGUUAUUUUGUCUUCACUGUGUAGGCUGGAGCUGAUGAUGGUGUUUCUUAUGUCUCCAUCAGCUUGCCCAAGAGGACCAGGAGUAAAACCCGGUCCCGUGGUCAUGAUGAAGGUGACACUGUGACCUACAGCACAGUGAAAGCUGUCUCCUCUUCUGCUGGAGAUGAUCCCAACCACCUCUAUUCCACCAUCAAUGAUGUAAAGAAGUAGGAUGAUGCUCAUGAAAAGAGAUAUGGUAGAUGCUGUUUCACUUUUUAGAUGAGAGAGUGAAUGUGAAAAGUCAUGGGUUAUUUUUUUUUGUCUUACGUAUUGGUUGUUUUGAACUAAUAACAUAAUAUUGUUUUGGUAAAUGGACUUAUAUAACACUUUUAUAUAGCUACUCUUUCAGAGCACUCAAAGUGCUUUAUACAACAAAUUCAUUCACCCAAGCAGUUAAGUGCUCCCUAUCUAACAUUAAUACUCAUUCACACUCCGAUGGAAGCAUCGGAGAGCAACAUGGGGUUAGUAUCUUGCCCAAGAAUAUUUGGCAUGCAGACUGGAGCAGACUGGGAUCAAACCACCACCCUUCUGGUUAGUAGCUGACCUGCUCUAACACCUGAGCUACAGACACCAAACUGAAAAUCAUUUAUGUUUCAAAAACAGACAUGUUACCACACCUAUAUAUUUCUGUUUUGACCUAAACUGUUUCUGCCAGAGGGGUAUGUGUUGACGUUUUAUUCCAAGAAACCUUUUCUGUUUGCUGCUGCUCAUAAAAGUUUAGCUGAUAGCAUCCUAUCACAGUACAUGACAUCAUUACUGUCUAAGGCGCAGCUUCAAAUGCAUCCUGAACAGUGCGGACAAAAAUUAGAAAGAAGAAAAAGUAC